rnacentral:lncRNA from 1 species
CAUUGUAAUACUACUGAGCAAUAAAAAGAGAUAAACUACAGAAAUAAGAAAAUAAAUGUAUCUCAAAAACAGUAAAAUGAGUAAAUGAAGGCUUACACAAAAGAGUGCAUAUGGUAUGCUUUUAUUUACAUGAAAAUCUUCAUCUGGAGAAUUGACUGGAAAGGACCAGAAGAAACUUUCUAGAACACCAUGUACUAAACUUUUUCUGUAGAGGGCCAGAUUGCAAAUAUUUUCAGUUUGUGGGCCUGAGGGUUCCUGUUGCAACUACUCUUUACUGCCAUUGUAACACAAAAGUAGCCAUAAACAUGUCAGCAAAUGUGUGUAGCUGUGUUUCAAAAAUAGUUUAUUUACAAAAACUGUCGGAGUGCAAGAUU